rnacentral:rRNA from 1 species
GACGCUGGCGGCGUGCCUAACACAUGCAAGUCGAGCGGCAGCGGGCCCGCAAGGGUGCCGGCGAGCGGCGGACGGGUGAGCAAUACAUAGGAAUCUACCUUAGAGCGGGGGAUAGCCCGGGGAAACCCGGAUUAAUACCGCAUGAUGUCGAGAGACCAAAGUGGGGGAUCGUAAGACCUCACACUCUAAGAUGAGCCUAUGUCGGAUUAGCUAGUUGGCGGGGUAACGGCCCACCAAGGCGACGAUCCGUAGCUGGUCUGAGAGGACGAUCUGCCACACCGGAACUGAGACACGGUCCGGACUCCUACGGGAGGCAGCAGUGGGGAAUAUUGGACAAUGGGCGAAAGCCUGAUCCAGCGACGCCGCGUGGGUGAAGAAGGCCUUCGGGUUGUAAAGCCCUUUAAGCCGGGACGAAAAAGCUGCACCUAACACGUGCGGCCUUGACGGUACCGGAAGAAUAAGCACCGGCUAACUCUGUGCCAGCAGCCGCGGUAAUACAGAGGGUGCAAGCGUUAAUCGGAUUUACUGGGCGUAAAGCG